CUUCAUUGAUGGCUGGUUGCUUCUGAGCCUCUUUAGCAGCUUGAGCGUCCAACAGCUGUUGCAGCUGCUCCUGUAGAGCACGAAUUUGUUCAUCAGUAGCCAUCGUAUGCAGUGCCUGAAAAAAAACGAGAAUUAGAAAAAUAAAAAUAAAAAGAAACAGUAAACGCCUGAAGUACUACUAAGUCCUAUCGGAAAUAUUAAAGAAACUUCUAAUCAGUCCCCGGCAACGGCGCCAAAAAGUUGAUCACUAAUUUCUUAGCAACAAAAUACCGCAACUAACACGGUGCAAUUGUAGCAAAAAAUUGGUAACCGAGUAUCGUAUCCACA
rnacentral:lncRNA from 1 species